rnacentral:rRNA from 1 species
GCAUACGCUAAGCACCUCGUGGAUGGUUACAAAGCCAUCUCUUUCAAAGUACGAAGUAGAACAGGGUCGGGCCUGGUUAGUACUUGGGUGGGAGACCACCUAGGAAGACCAGGUGCCGUAGGCU